GCGUAAAUGGCGGAAUGGUAGACGCGCAAGAUUGAGGGUCUUGUUGAAGGAUUUUCAGUGAGGGUUCAAGUCCCUUUUUACGCA
rnacentral:tRNA from 1 species